rnacentral:tRNA from 1 species
CCACCCUUAGCUCAACUGGAUAGAGUAUCGGAUUCCGAUUCCGGCGGUUACAGGUUCAAAUCCUGCAGGGUGGGCCA